rnacentral:lncRNA from 1 species
AUGCAUGGAAUUGUAAGGGUGUCUAAAAAAAUUGACUAAAAGCAGUGCCAUACUGGAGAGAAACACUGCUAUCCGUAAGUUCUAUGCAUGCUGUGUGAGGUACAAUCAGAAAGGGUCUCUUCUGGCUUUCUUGCUUAACAAACAAAACAGUAGUAAAACAUGUGUGUCAGUAUAUACCAGCACUCUGGCGUUACCAUAUGAAAAAAGAAAUGUGACUCCUUCAACUUUUUCUCACAAGUUUGGGUUUCACUAAAGCGAUAAUUUCAGUUUUCAUCAUCAUCUUCCAGCAGGUAGUCUUCUAUUUGAUCUCUGAAAUAAACAGUUUGCUGAAUCAGUGCACUGAAGAACAAACAUGAUAUUAGCAAAUGAAUGGAGUGUUGAACAUGUGGAAACAAGUGGUCAUGUAAACUAAACAUCAUGCUAAGAAGCAACACGGAAAGGUUUAAUGUUUUCCUUUAGUAUAUCACUGAUAACAUGCACAAUAAAUACCCAGACAAUGAGGCAGCCUACAAAG